rnacentral:rRNA from 1 species
CCUACGAGUGGCAGCAGUGGGGAAUAUUGCACAAUGGGGGGAACCCUGAUGCAGCGACGCCGCGUGAGUGAAGAAGUAUUUCGGUAUGUAAAGCCCUAUCAGCAGGGAAGAAAAUGACGGUACCUGACUAAGAAGCCCCGGUUCACUACGUGCCAGCAGCCGCGGUAAUCCGUCGGGGGCACGCGUUAUGCGGAUUUACUGGGUGUAAAGGGAGCGUAGACGGUGCAGCAAGUCUGAUGUGAAAGGUCGGGGCCCAACCCCGGGAGUGCAGUGGAAACUGUUGAACUGGAGUACAGGAGAGGUAAGCGGAAUGCCUAGUGUAGCGGUGAAAUGCGUAGAUAUUAGGAGGAACACCAGUGGCGAAGGCAGCUUACUGGACGGUAACUGACGUUGAGGCACGAAAGCGUGGGUAGCAAACAGGAUUAGAUACCCGUGUAGUC